CCCCCGAGUCAAUCGACCACGCCUCGCACCCCCAUCUGGAUCUGCCGCCUCCCCACCGCCGGCCCGCAUCGUCCGUCGCGCCCUCCUCCCCGUGUCUCCGAGUCCUCCGCGUGCAGCUUGCCGACGUUGAGGCCCAGGCCGCCGCGCUCCGGGAUCGCGCCGGCCGUCUCGAGCGCGUGCCGCCGACUGCGACGGGCUGCUCGGCACACUCCGCGCCGCCACGGGCAACAGGUGGUAGGACGAGGAGAGGGUGGUGGAGACAGCGAAGGAGCUAGUAGGAGGAGGAUGAGAGGAAGGUGGAGGCGGCAGAGGAGCCAGUAGGAGUACGAGAGGGAGGUGGAGGCGGCGGAGGAGGGGACGGGGAUGACGGGGACAGAUCGGACUACACACCGGAGGACGAGGGCAUCACACCGCCUACCGAUUCCUUCUUCCUCGCGUCCCGGUUACAUGGCCGUCGCUGCAGUCGCCCAACAUCGACCACCUUGCCCCGAUUAGCUCUUGGAUACGCGGACGACCGGAUGUGCUCCAGCGCGGCCGCCUAUGGGCUGGUCCCACGAUGAAUCGACAACUAAGCUCGGGGACAUGAUAUGGUGCUCGGUGUAGGUGGCCAUGGUGGACCUGAAGCUGGCUUAGAUAAGCGAUGGGAUCGAGCGGCGGCGCUCCCGAUCUGAUCGGGAGCAGGACGACGACGGCGAGCACAUGGCGGACGAGAGGAGCAGGAGGGGAGGUGCGGAGGCGGGGCCAUAUGCGUCGGACGCGCGCGUUCGCCGCAGUCAACGCGGACACAGCGGCCGUCCAUGGCGGCUCGGGUCGAUGUAGGAGGACGAGGGGAGGAGCCCGCGAGGCCCGACACCGGUAAUGGAGCGGAGGCGGCUGGAUCUGGCGAUUCUGGAGGGGCUGGCGACGAGCGGCUCCAUGGGCGGCGACCUGCGGGGUUCAAGCGGCGGCUGAAGGUAUGAGCGAUCUGGUUUCCUCUUUUGUUGUUCUAUACGAGGAUGAUCCAGAUGCCUUUUGGUGUUUUGAGAUGCUACUGAGAAGGAUGGUAAUUUGUAUCUAUGUCAAACCAUACUGGCAUACGUUAGGUUGGUAUUUUUGCAUGACUUAAUGCAUGAUAUAAAUUCUGUUGCAUCUCAGCGUGAAAAUUUCCACCUCGAGGGACCGACAGGAGUUAUGAAGCGGUUGGAAGCAUUGUGGAAGAUCAUGGAAUUGACAGAUACGGAACUAAUAAACUGGUAAGGAUCAAACAGGCAAAUGGAGUCCUAAUUUUCUAUUGGAAGUUCACAUGACAUGGUUCUAUGUUUGAGGCUUCAACAGACUGCGUAUGCCUCAAGAUUUGAGGUGUGAGUGUGCGACUUGAUUUUCUGUGUUGUUACAGUUAAUCGGUAAUGGAUAAAUCAAUUUUUGUUAUGUAGAUUGGUAAAACUAAUUAAGUUAAUUUUUUCUUAUUUA